rnacentral:rRNA from 1 species
UGAGGAAUAUUGCGCAAUGGACGAAAGUCUGACGCAGCCAUGCCGCGUGCAGGAUGACGGCCCUAUGGGUUGUAAACUGCUUUUGUAUAGGAAGAAACUCGAAUACGUGUAUUUGAUUGACGGUACUAUAUGAAUAAGCAUCGGCUAACUCCGUGCCAGCAGCCGCGGUAAUACGGAGGAUGCAAGCGUUAUCCGGAUUUAUUGGGUUUAAAGGGUGCGUAGGCGGAAUAUUAAGUCAGUGGUGAAAUCCUGCAGCUUAACUGUAGCACUGCCAUUGAUACUGAGAUUAUUGAGUACGGUUGAGGUAGGCAGAAUGUGUAAUGUAGCGGUGAAAUGCAUAGAUGUUACACAGAACACCGAUUGCGACAGCGGCUUACUAAGCCGCAACUGCCGCUAAGACACGAAAGCGUGGGGAUC